GAAGUACAAAAUCAUAAACACCCAAAAAUUUGGGUGUUUAUGGGGUUUAUUUUAUGAAUAUGUUAUGUUGUAUACAAAGAGACUUUCAUUCCUGGGGUAUAACGUCUCACACGAGGGCAUAAAACCUCUCAAUAGCAAAGUUGAAGCCAUCAAGGAAUUUCCCGUUCCGAAAAAUGAGAAUUUUUCAUCAUCCCAAAGGCAGCCGAAAUUCAAGGACCCUUGAACGUAUUGCUGACAGGACCAAGCAAAGCCUCCCGCUCCAUUAAUAUACUCGUAAAUGGCGAAUCACUUACCGCAUUCGAAAAAUGCAAAGAGAGUCUCUGUCAAGCGACAUUGCUGGCUCACCCUGAUCUGGAAGCGAGAUUAGCGUUGGGUACUGACGCAUCAGACAUCGCUAUCGGUGCUGUUCUCCAGCAACAGAAAGAUGGCGUAUGGCAACCAUUGGCUUUUUCUCUCGUAAAUUGAGCCAAUCACAACGAAAGUAUUCCCCUUACGAUCGAGAAUUACUAUCCAUUUAUGAAGGCAUUAAACACUUCCGUCACAUGAUGGAAGCACGACACUUGACAAUCUUCACUGAUCAUAAGCCCAUCACCUUCGCAUUUGAAACAAGGAAACAGAACUGCUCACCUAGACAAUUUCGGCAUUUAGACUACAUCAGUCAAUUUACAACAGAUAUCCGCCACAUAUCAGGUAGCGCUAACGUUGUGGCUGAUACCCUCUCACGUAUCAACGAAAUCCAGCAGCUAAUUAACUUAAAAACUGGAGGAAGUGGUUGUUAAUGUAUAUCAAAAUAUUUUUGUUCACUAUGUUAUUUUUUUAAUAAAGGUGCGACACUGGUUGUUUGGUACAUAUAAAAGUGACACUUUUUUAUUCGCUUCGUAUUAUAUUAUUAUAUUAAAAUAAAUACAGGUUAUGGACCAUUAUUGUGCUUCUACCAAGUUCUCGCAACAGUUAUGUUAUUAAAAGUAUUAAAUAAUACAAGUUUCAGUAAGAGAAUAGUUUGUGUUUGUGUCCGUUUUUGUUUGCGGCGUUUUCGCAAAGCAAAAAAAGGCGUCAAAUUCCUACGUCGUUAGUGUACCAAAACUAAAGGCACGAGGAAAUUAUAGCGAAUGGUGCUUUGUUGUAGAGAAUUUUCUAGUGUUAGAAGGCAUGCUUGGGUGUAUCAAGUUGGAGCCUAAUCAACCACGUAUAGACGUUGCGGACAAUGCAAGAACCAAGGUGAAACUGAUUCUAACUAUAGAUCCGUCAAUUUACUUUCAUAUAAAAGAAAGUUAAAACUACAAAGGAUCUAUGGAAUAAACUUUAAUCUUUAAACGAUGAUUCUGCCUUUACAAGUCAUAUUUGAUUGUUAAGAAACUUGAUAUCAAUCAGAUUGGAAAAUAGUGCCUCGAUGAAUUUCUAUGUUACACAAAUUGUGAAAAUCGGCCAAAAAUUUGGCAGGAGCCGGCUUCAAUAUUAGUGACGAGUGGAUCGGUUCGUUAUUAUUAGCAGGAUUAACCGAGAAAUAUUCACCUAUGAUAGUGGCCAUUAAACAUUGUGGAAUGUCAAUUACGAUAGACGCCAUUAAAUCAAAGUUACUUGAUAUGGAACCGGAAGAGAAAGAGACAAAUAAUGCGCUGGCGAGCUUUCAACAAUACCAAUAUAAGAAAAGUGGCAAGUAUAUGUCCAAAAGGAAAUGCUAAACAUGGCGUCCAAGUGUCAAAACCAAACGUCAAUCAGAUUACGUGCUAUCGUUGUAAAUAAAUCGGUCACUAUCGAAAUCAAUGCAAAAACGUAAAUAAAAAUUCAACUAUCGAAACGGCACAACGUUUAUCCGGAAUGAGAAAGGAGGCUAGUUACACCAACAGCAGGCCACAGAACAAUUGAGGCAAUUCGUCCAAUCUUUAAGCAUUGAUAGGAAAAGAGAAGAAAAGGGCCGCUAACAUUCCGGCUCACACUGGUACUUACCGGAUACGGUUGUUUCGGUGCGAAUCUUCGGUCGUAGCUGCGAGGUUAUAGAUAUAGAGGUCCAUCGCCGAGCACACAAUCUCUACACUAUCCGGUUGCGCACCCGAUGACCGACCGAUUGCGACCAAGACCUGAAGCAUUCUUUUUGUUGUUUAUGUAUCUUUAUAUGUAUAUUCAUAUAUGUUAACUUAUUUACAUUUUCUCUGUUCACUGUC
rnacentral:lncRNA from 1 species